rnacentral:rRNA from 1 species
UACGUAGGCAGCGAGCGUUGUUCGGAAUUACUGGGCGUAAAGAGUGUGUAGGCGGUGCUCUAAGUUCGGUGUGAAAUCUCCCGGCUUAACUGGGAGGGUGCGCCGGAAACUGGAGUGCUCGAGCGUGGGAGAGGAAAGCGGAAUUCCUGGUGUAGCGGUGAAAUGCGCAGAUAUCAGGAAGAACACCCGUGGCUAAGGCGGCUCUCUAGUACGGUACUGACGCUGAGACGCGAAAGCGUGGGGAGCGAACAGG